ensembl:lncRNA
CCUAAUUUGUCAUCAAAUAUCAGGUGUUUCCUCUCUGUGUGAUGCUUGAGUUGCCAUGGGAUGAAAACUAUCAGGUGUGGAUGGUUUCAGCAGCUGGUUAGAGUCAUAUAAUAGAAUGGCUUGGGUUGAAAGGGUCCUUAAAGGUCACUUGAUUCCUAAUGGGUGGGACAUGAUGGGGUAACAGCUUGCCUCAGGCGUACUGCCAGCCAGGACUCCUGCUGAUGGGUUAUUGUGUGCUGCAGAGGGCAUACAGAUGGCAGGGAGUUAUGAUGAGCACCUCUUCAAGCUGUCAGCUGUCAGUGGAGUGUUUUCUCUUUCUACUUUGGGGUGGUAUUCCAAACUGGGAGCUACAGGAAAAGGAAGUGUACAAAGACCUAACCUUGCAAAGAAGCAAAUGUUGGCAGACAAGAAACCUCCAGAACUGUGAGACCUUGAUCUUCAGACAGUGACUCUGCAUUCAGAAUACGUGCUUCUGGAAAUGUUUUGUGCAGAGAGAACCUCUGUUAUCACAAAACUUUUAAAAAUCAAAGUUGGCAGUGCAGUAUCAUAAAUGCAAAGUGUGUUAUUAAUAUAGAGAGCUUGGUCAGUUUUUUUCAUAAGGCUUAAUGUCUCUUCUUGUUAGGAGCUAAAUCCAGUGGUUUCUAACUGUGAAAUAGUUCUGUGAUAAAUUCCUACAAGAUUAGAGUGGCUGCUCUGGUACGGCACUUUAUCAAAUUAAUACGAUUACUAUUGUUUCAGAUAACGUAUGGUAUUAUUUGCUUCACUUCACUCCCUAACAUUUCUUCAAAUCUGAAAGAGAGCUGAGAAGUGCAUUACAUCAAUUACAACGUGGCAUCCAUUGUAGUGUAGUGUAUGGGAUUUGUUUAUCUCCUUGUUUUUUGAUACUUAACCUCACGGCUCAAGAACCAUUAUGUGCCCAAUUAACUUUGGUUUAUAUGCUCUGCGUGUUUUAAAUCUGCAGCGUGUUUUCUCUAGAAAAAUUACUUUACUACAAAACUGCAAUCAUUUUAGCCAGCACGGCCACACUGAGAUUUGGGAGUUUAUUAUCUUACCACGGAUCAAAAAAGGACAAAUGUAGCUACUAAAUAUAGAGUUGAAAGGGGACAGAUUUGGUUAUGGGAGACAUUCAUACCUUAGAUUCUUUAAGGUUAUACCAAAAACCUGAAUGUUUUCCUGGGAAUUACAUGCCAAAGGCCCUCAAGAAAUUCAUAAAUUUUAGAGCCUCUCAUUUCUUUUGACCAAAGAACUGCUGAGAAAGCAAACUACAGAGGAGUACCCUGUGUAUUACACUACUUAUUUUUUUUUUCCUGUUCUUGAUUACUGUGGAUGAAAUUUCUUGCUAAGAUAAUAGGACUAGGAACCUGUAAACACAACUUUUUUCCCCCCAGUUUUUGCUAUUUGAAUUACUCAACCAUUACUCAUGUCUCAGUGAGAUUGUGAGAUAGUCAUCACUUGAAAGAUAUAUGUAAAUUUAAAAAUGAACAUUUAUUUUGAAAUCUGUUGCUUAUUAUGCUGUCUGAUUUUUUUUAUAUAUUUGUUUAUAUUUUUGACACACUAAAAAGACACUUUCUGCAUGUGCACAUGGAAUUUUAGACAUAAUAGGAAACACUUUAAGUGCAGCACUGAAAGACACUCCUGUUAAGAAAUCAUUCCUUUGAACAUUUUUCGAUCUCCUCUAUCCUACUAUGUAUGAAGUUAUGGGGGUGGAGGGGGAAACAACAAAACAACCAAGGAUUGUCAGUACUCAAGCAAGUAUUCUUCCAACUAUGAACAGACCAGUCCCAGCCAGAGUUAAAAGAUAUUUCAACAUCCAAUCUUUCAUCAGACAUCUUGGUAAGGAAAACAACAGCAAGAAAAAAAACACAACAUAAAAUCCCUCUAAACGUUCUUUUUCCUCUCUGUGAAAAAUAAGGGUACUUAGAGCAAGGCAGUCAAGAUUGUGUAUAAUGAAGCUCUCAGCUAAGAAUGUGAUAAUCUUUUAAAGACAAAAACGAGUAAGCACAUUAAAUUAAGUAAUAAUUUCUCAUCCCAAGAAAAUGUCUGUUUAAAAAAAAAAAAUCACAGGAAUGUGUUAAUGGAUUCUGAUGGUGAUGUAUGAACCUCUUCCAAAAUGUAUAACCUCCUCCCUGCCAUGCAAAGUCACUAAGGAUUAUUGUAUAUUCAAGAAAGAAAAUGAGCCUGGGGAGUAUCUUUAUUGCAUUUGUUGUACUGCUUCAUCUUUGCUUACAUACAUGAUAGGUUGUUUUUUUAAUACAUUGGAAAAAUCUGCUUGAAGCGAUUGUUUGAGGAGAUGGCAAAAAAAAAAAAAAAAGCUCGUUUAAUUGAAACCACUUUCAGACGUGGACUAAGCCACAUAGUGCAACGAACAGUGGGACUUACUUCAGUGACCAUCCUAUAAACAAUCUUAAGCUGGAUGCUAAUGGCCAUUAUCAAAGUCUAUGCACACAAAUUAUUU